UACGUAGGGUGCAAGCGUUGUCCGGAAUUACUGGGCGUAAAGAGCUCGUAGGUGGUUUGUCGCGUUGUCCGUGAAAACUCACAACUCAAUUGUGGGCGUGCGGGCGAUACGGGCAGACUGGAGUACUGCAGGGGGAGACUGGAAUUCCUGGUGUAGCGGUGGAAUGCGCAGAUAUCAGGAGGAACACCGGUGGCGAAGGCGGGUCUCUGGGCAGUAACUGACGCUGAGGAGCGAAAGCGUGGGGAGCGAACAGG
rnacentral:rRNA from 1 species